AAUGGCUCAUUAAAUCAGUUAUCGUUUAUUUGAUAGUACCUUUACCUGGAUAACCGUGGUAAUUCUAGAGCUAAUACAUGCUAAAAAUCUCGACUUCGGAAGGGAUGUAUUUAUUAGAUAAAAAACCAAUGCCCUUCGGGGCUCCUUGGUGAUUCAUAAUAACUUAACGAAUCGCAUGGCCUUGUGCCGGCGAUGGUUCAUUCAAAUUUCUGCCCUAUCAACUUUCGAUGGUAGGAUAGUGGCCUACCAUGGUUUUAACGGGUAACGGGGAAUUAGGGUUCUAUUCCGGAGAGGGAGCCUGAGAAACGGCUACCACAUCCAAGGAAGGCAGCAGGCGCGCAAAUUACCCAAUCCCAAUACGGGGAGGUAGUGACAAUAAAUACUGAUACAGGGCUCUUUCGGGUCUUGUAAUUGGAAUGAGUACAAUCUAAAUCCCUUAACG
rnacentral:rRNA from 1 species